CUCUGCAGACAGUGCAGAAGAGUUCCUGUUCUGAACAACUAUCCUGAGCCCUGAGUGAUUUCUGCUUCUGUUUCACAUUGUUGCUUUUGUGCCUCUGCUACCUUGUGUUGAAAGCAUUUUCACCAACCUUCUGGAAAGACUCAGACAUCCAAAAGCAGCAUCAGGGCAGAGCCAACAGGGGAAAGGAAGGUGGAACAUUGAAAGGUUUGCAGAGUUACCUAAAGAGAACCAGAAGAGUGAAAGAAGCUGAAUUCUACUCUGAAAAGCAGCAUCAGGACAGAGCCAACAGGGGAAAGGAAGGUGGACAUUGAAAGGUUUGGAGAGUUACCUAAAGAGAACAGAAGAGUGAAGGAAGCUGAAUUCUUCUCUGGAAAGGAUAGCACCGUGGUACCAUCCACAUUCAUCAGCUGUGUAUCCAGACGCCUUCUGUGAGAUGUGCCAUGGAACAACUGUUAAAGUCGAGCCACUGUUGUCGUGGGAGUCCCUGAAGAUGCUGCUCCCUCCACGGGCAUGUUGACUCCAGUGGUUUCCGUGAGACAAUCUUCACCCACUCUGCCCUCUGCACUCCCAGGAAUCCCCCCAGGAGAAUUACCAACCUCCUGUCUGAGCCUUCUUCACCGCCACCCUCCAUUUUCUCUUCUGACCUGAGGACCCCUUAUGUGACUUACCUUCACCCUCACCACUCAGUCACUCUCUACUCCCAAUGCCUGUCCCUCCCUUGGAUUCCACAUUCCCAGGGGACAUUCUGCACUUGCCUUUCUUCCUCUCCCACCAUGUGACACUCAGGGAGCAGAUGUUGUUCUCUAAUCAGAGGGGACUUUUUCUCUGAACACUUUCCAGGGAUUUUGAUCUCUGCCUUUCCAGAGAUGUCAAUUUCUUACCAAGUUUAUCGCAGAAAAUGGUCCCAUGGAUUCAAAUAUUGAUCAUCUGGAACCAACAGCCUGUCUGCUUCACCACCACCAGAUGGCACUUUAGGUGCGACUCAACCUGAACAUGUUUCCCUCUAAGGAAGCUUGUUCUGGAGACGUUCUCCCCCGAUGGUGCUGAUGAGCUGCCACUAUGUCCCAGCAAUCAGAGGAACUGACUGUCCAAGCAGUAUCACAAUGCUCCUGCAGGAGUCUCCAUCUCUGGCAUUUCUUCCCCUUCAUUUUCUAAGGCUUCAUGUGUGGGAGACGCUGCAGCCAACCUUGUAAUAGCUGUUUCUCUUUCCUUGCCCAAGUCUGAUGUUCUGGCCUUCUGGAGAGACAAGUUUAAAACCAUGGUGAUUUCACAAUGUGGAAGGAAAAGAAAAAGAAAACAGGUUCUUUCCCAAAGCAACUUAGGCCAGACUCCCAACGACCAAACUUUGCUAUGUAUCAUGUGCAAAUUUUUGCCCUCAUUUUUGAGGGAUAAACACGAAUGCACAUCAUAUGCUGGUAGUAGGGUUUGGGAGUGGGGGUGUGCAAUGGGCUUCCUGGAGCUGUUGUGCUUUCCCUGUUGGGCCUACUGAGUUUUGGGGGCUCCAGUCCAGGAGAAUCCCAUAUUUCCCUGGGAGUGAGCCAGCGUGGCCUCCGCCUAGUGGCAUGACCAAGGGAGGGGGCUGUGGUGGGGCUGGCAUGGCAGGCCCUGGCCUCGUGGGGUGGAAUCUGUGGCCCAUGGUAUUCCUGCGCAGAGUGGGUUGGGAGCUCUGCACACAGAAGAUUCAGUGGUCUCUUCAGAGACGAUUUGGAGCUCUGCGCAGGUGGGUUUGGGAAACCUGCGCAGGCCUCAGGGACCAUCAUGGCUGCCCUUGGGCUGAGCAUCUCUUAAGGACCUGCCCCAGUAGCCACAUGUUGGGAAACCUGUGUGCAGGCCCUGAAGUGGUGAGGAGGGAAUGGCUCCCAUGAGCAUGGGAAAGGCGCUGCCUGCACAGAGAAUGUGGCUGCAGAAGGGUGGUACAAUUUGCAUGUUUACAAAGGAAUGCUAGCCCUCCCCUCAUUUGUCUUUUGGCCAAGAGUUGAGUCGUGUUUUCCGGAAUGUUUGGGUCAAAAACGUGGGUGCACAGUAUACAUGGCAAAAAAUGGUCAAUUUUUCAUGGACAAUGUUAGGAUCAAUAGCCAACAAGCAUGGCUCAGCAGAUUCCCUUCCUUUGUGAACCAGCAAAGGCAAACCAGAAGACCUGCACGUGGACAGCAGCUCCUGUGUCCUAAGAACUUUGAGGAUGACAUAGAGUAAAAUAAAUCCAGCUCUCCUGACUCUCCUGUCUCUGCAGGGUGAGUCCCUGUACUUUGUGUUGCUUGUCCCAGGUGGCUGUUCCUCAACAUCUGUGUUCUCCAAUCUCAAAUACUUUCACAGCUGAAGGAUCCCCAAUAGUUAACCAUCUCCAACCUUUCUCCAUGUGUUAAACCAUGCCCAAUCUCAGUCCUUAACCCUCACUCAGGUCCAGUCUCAGGCCCAAUUUCAAUUCCUGCUCCCAGGCCUAUCACCUUGUUCUGAUCACAGAUUAGG